rnacentral:lncRNA from 1 species
CGUUCUGCAUAUUUUUGUAAUUUCUACAAAACUAGCCAUUAGAGCUAUUAACUGUAGUCGAGAUAACUUGGAUCAAAUAGUGAUCGACUCAAGCUAACUUAGAGCUGACUCGAGAUAGGUUGAGAUUGACUCAAGGUCUUAUUUAAAAAAUCUAACUUUUAUCUUUAGUGGAAGAGUCAGCUCGAUUAUUGAGGAUUGACUCAAAGUUGAU